rnacentral:rRNA from 1 species
UACAGAGGUCCCAAGCGUUGUUCGGAUUUACUGGGCGUAAAGGGUGCGUAGGCGGUCGGAUAAGUUUGAUGUGAAAUCUUCGGGCUUAACCCGGAAACUGCAUUGAAUACUAUUCGGCUUGAGGACUGGAGGGGGGACUGGAAUUCUCGGUGUAGCAGUGAAAUGCGUAGAUAUCGAGAGGAACACCAGUGGCGAAGGCGAGUCCCUGGACAGAUCCUGACGCUGAGGCACGAAAGCUAGGGGAGCAAACAGG